CUCAGGACGAACGCUGGCGGCGUGCUUAACACAUGCAAGUCGAACGGAAAGGCCCUGCUUUUGUGGGGUGCUCGAGUGGCGAACGGGUGAGUAACACGUGAGUAACCUGCCCUUGACUUUGGGAUAACUUCAGGAAACUGGGGCUAAUACCGGAUAGGAGCUCCUGCUGCAUGGUGGGGGUUGGAAAGUUUCGGCGGUUGGGGAUGGACUCGCGGCUUAUCAGCUUGUUGGUGGGGUAGUGGCUUACCAAGGCUUUGACGGGUAGCCGGCCUGAGAGGGUGACCGGCCACAUUGGGACUGAGAUACGGCCCAGACUCCUACGGGAGGCAGCAGUGGGGAAUAUUGCACAAUGGGCGGAAGCCUGAUGCAGCAACGCCGCGUGCGGGAUGACGGCCUUCGGGUUGUAAACCGCUUUCGCCUGUGACGAAGCGUGAGUGACGGUAAUGGGUAAAGAAGCACCGGCUAACUACGUGUCAGCAGCCGCGGUGAUACGUAGGGUGCGAGCGUUGUCCGGAUUUAUUGGGCGUAAAGGGCUCGUAGGUGGUUGAUCGCGUCGGAAGUGUAAUCUUGGGGCUUAACCCUGAGCGUGCUUUCGAUACGGGUUGACUUGAGGAAGGUAGGGGAGAAUGGAAUUCCUGGUGGAGCGGUGGAAUGCGCAGAUAUCAGGAGGAACACCAGUGGCGAAGGCGGUUCUCUGGGCCUUUCCUGACGCUGAGGAGCGAAAGCGUGGGGAGCGAACAGGCUUAGAUACCCUGGUAGUCCACGCUGUAAACGGUGGGUACUAGGUGUGGGGUCCAUUCCACGGGUUCCGUGCCGUAGCUAACGCUUUAAGUACCCCGCCUGGGGAGUACGGCCGCAAGGCUAAAACUCAAAGGAAUUGACGGGGCGCCGCACAAGCGGCGGAGCAUGCGGAUUAAUUCGAUGCAACGCGUAGAACCUUACCUGGGUUUGACAUGGAUCGGGAGUGCUCAGAGAUGGGUGUGCCUCUUUUGGGGUCGGUUCACAGGUGGUGCAUGCCUGUCGUCAGCUCGUGUCGUGAGAUGUUGGGUUAAGUCCCACAACGAGCGCAACCCUUGUUCACUGUUGCCAGCACGUUAUGGUGGGGACUCAGUGGAGACCGCCGGGGUCAACUCGGAGGAAGGUGGGGAUGACGUCAAGUCUUCAUGCCCCUUAUGUCCAGGGCUUCACGCAUGCUACAAUGGCUGGUACAGAGAGUGGCGAGCCUGUGAGGGUGAGCGAAUCUCGGAAAGCCGGUCUCAGUUUGGAUUGGGGUCUGCAACUCGACCUCAUGAAGUCGGAGUCGCUAGUAAUCGCAGAUCAGCAACGGUGCGGUGAAUACGUUCCCGGGGCUUGUACACACCGCCCGUCAAGUCAUGAAAGUUGGUAACACCCGAAGCCGGUGGCCUAACCGUUGUGGGGGAGCCGUCGAAGGUGGGAC
rnacentral:rRNA from 1 species